rnacentral:rRNA from 1 species
AUUUUUGUGAUUACAUAUAACAUAAGGGGGUUUUCUGCAAAAAACAUGCCACGUCGGCACCUGACGGGCGGGCCCCAUCGGUCAGAUACACCGUCAAUACGUAUAAAUACGCGUUUUAGCCUAAUUUGCAAAAACUUAGACCAAUGUUGGUACUGACACGUAAAAAUUAGCAAUCAUGGUACCAAUCUGCAUGUGAUGCCCG